rnacentral:rRNA from 1 species
UGCCGCGUGCAGGAUGACGGUCCUAUGGAUUGUAAACUGCUUUUGCACAGGAAGAAACACUCCGACGUGUCGGAGCUUGACGGUACUGUGAGAAUAAGGAUCGGCUAACUCCGUGCCAGCAGCCGCGGUAAUACGGAGGAUCCAAGCGUUAUCCGGAAUCAUUGGGUUUAAAGGGUCCGUAGGCGGUCUUGUAAGUCAGUGGUGAAAGCCCAUCGCUCAACGGUGGAACGGCCAUUGAUACUGCAGGACUUGAAUUAUUGGGAAGUAACUAGAAUAUGUAGUGUAGCGGUGAAAUGCUUAGAGAUUACAUGGAAUACCAAUUGCGAAGGCAGGUUACUACCAAUUUAUUGACGCUGAUGGACGAAAGCGUGGGUAGCGAACAGGAUUAGAUACCCUGGUAGUCCACGCCGUAAACGAUGGAUACUAGCUGUUGGGAGCAAUCUCAGUGGCUAAGCGAAAGUGAUAAGUAACCCACCUGGGGAGUACGAACGCAAGUUUGAAACUCACAGGAAUUGACGGGGGCCCGCACAAGCGGUGGAGCAUGUGGUUUAAUUCGAUGAUACGCGAGGAACCUUACCAAGGCUUAUAUGCAGACUGACCGAUUUGGAAACAGAUCUGUCGCAAGACAGUU